GGAGAGUUGGCCGAGUGGUUUAAGGCGCACGUCUGGAAAGCGUGUUUCCCAAAAGGAUCAAGGGUUCGAAUCCCUUACUCUCCG
rnacentral:tRNA from 1 species